rnacentral:rRNA from 1 species
AACGCUAGCUACAGGCUUAACACAUGCAAGUCGAGGGGAAACGACAUCGAAAGCUUGCUUUUGAUGGGCGUCGACCGGCGCACGGGUGAGUAACGCGUAUCCAACCUGCCCACCACUUGGGGAUAACCUUGCGAAAGUAAGACUAAUACCCAAUGACGUCUCUAGAAGACAUCUGAAAGAGAUUAAAGAUUUAUCGGUGAUGGAUGGGGAUGCGUCUGAUUAGCUUGUUGGCGGGGUAACGGCCCACCAAGGCGACGAUCAGUAGGGGUUCUGAGAGGAAGGUCCCCCACAUUGGAACUGAGACACGGUCCAAACUCCUACGGGAGGCAGCAGUGAGGAAUAUUGGUCAAUGGACGAGAGUCUGAACCAGCCAAGUAGCGUGCAGGAUGACGGCCCUAUGGGUUGUAAACUGCUUUUAUAAGGGAAUAAAGUGAGUCUCGUGAGACUUUUUGCAUGUACCUUAUGAAUAAGGACCGGCUAAUUCCGUGCCAGCAGCCGCGGUAAUACGGAAGGUCCGGGCGUUAUCCGGAUUUAUUGGGUUUAAAGGGAGCGUAGGCCGGAGAUUAAGCGUGUUGUGAAAUGUAGACGCUCAACGUCUGCACUGCAGCGCGAACUGGUUUCCUUGAGUACGCACAAAGUGGGCGGAAUUCGUGGUGUAGCGGUGAAAUGCUUAGAUAUCACGAAGAACUCCGAUUGCGAAGGCAGCUCACUGGAGCGCAACUGACGCUGAAGCUCGAAAGUGCGGGUAUCGAACAGGAUUAGAUACCCUGGUAGUCCGCACGGUAAACGAUGGAUGCCCGCUGUUGGUCUGAAUAGGUCAGCGGCCAAGCGAAAGCAUUAAGCAUCCCACCUGGGGAGUACGCCGGCAACGGUGAA